GCUCCUCUGACGUUAGCGGCGGACGGGUGAGUAACAUGUGGAUAACCUACCUAUAAGACUGGGAUAACUUCGGGAAACCGGAGCUAAUACCGGAUAAUAUAUUGAACCGCAUGGUUCAAUAGUGAAAGACGGUUUUGCUGUCACUUAUAGAUGGAUCCGCGCCGCAUUAGCUAGUUGGUAAGGUAACGGCUUACCAAGGCAACGAUGCGUAGCCGACCUGAGAGGGUGAUCGGCCACACUGGAACUGAGACACGGUCCAGACUCCUACGGGAGGCAGCAGUAGGGAAUCUUCCGCAAUGGGCGAAAGCCUGACGGAGCAACGCCGCGUGAGUGAUGAAGAUCUUCGGAUCGUAAAACUCUGUUAUUAGGGAAGAACAAAUGUGUAAGUAACUAUGCACGUCUUGACGGUACCUAAUCAGAAAGCCACGGCUAACUACGUGCCAGCAGCCGCGGUAAUACGUAGGUGGCAAGCGUUAUCCGGAAUUAUUGGGCGUAAAGCGCGCGUAGGCGG
rnacentral:rRNA from 1 species